rnacentral:lncRNA from 1 species
UGGUAAACAAGAUAUAAACGACAAGGAUGAAGAGAAGUAUUGACGGCAAAACUAAAAUGAAUGGAGAUUAUUCUGGGAUGAAUGGUGACAGCAAACCAAAGAAUGGUCAUCUGUAUUUAGCUGGGUAUGAUUUUGACUUAAAUAAUCUGCCGGCACGUGUAGCUCAAGGCACAAAAAAAAAAAUACAAGACAAGAGCAGACAACAUGAUUUAGCUUCACCUUGGUAGAGAACAGAUAUAUUAUACCAAGGAAUUGUAUUUUAAAUAUACAAUUCCUUGAUUAUACCAAUUACUUUCUAUCUACAAGAAAAUGUCAUGACCAUGUGACAAAAAUAUGAGGACAUAGAAAAGAGGUUAGAAAAUGCCCUUUUACUGUUAGGCUUCAAAUGUUAAUAUAUUUUACUAGUUAGCAUCAAAUUGUGAGUUGUCAAAAUAUCCUUGUUGUGAUAAUUAUCUGUUACGGUUAUUUUGGAGAAAAAUUAAUGUGAUUUGUCAAAAUCGGUCAUUUUUUUAUGGUAAUUAAGAAAUAUGCAUUUUAUCAGUAGGCACCAAAAAUUAUCGUUUACAUCAUUUGGCAAGAUUUUCCCCCAUUGCUCGCAAUGAAAGUACCCAAAACGACCCUAAGAAAAGAACAGAGAUUUGGAAAGGAAUAAGGAUAUAACAUGCAAUUUCCAAGAGUAUGUAUUGUUAAAAGUACCACGGCAUACAAACUUUAAACCUGUCAUUUAAAUGAUAUUAGGGAAACCUGUGUUCACCAAGUAUAGGUUUUCAUAAUGGACAAGAUGUUAAAUUUAAUAGUUAUAUACAUGUAAAUGUUAUUUGUAUUUAACUUAUUCUUGACUAGCUGAAUUUAAAAAAUAUAUGUUUUUGGAACGAUUUUUAUUUUUAAUUUAAAGCUGGAUAUAUUUUGCCAUUAUAUGUUAUCCAUUUUAAUCAUGUGUUUAGAUCAUAUUGUUACUAAUUAGAUUUUACAAUGACAGGUUUCCUUGGAGAUGAUUGUCAAUUUCUUCUUUAUUACAUAUUAAUAUUAUAACUCAUGUCUAAAGCUGUGCUUUUGGUUUGAAAAUUUUUGAUCAAUAUUUACUGUUUUAUACAAAUUAUGUUAUAUUUGUUUAAAUCUUACAAUUUUGUACCAAUUUCUAACUGCAUCAUACAGGUACUAAAAAACAAUAUAUAUUUAUAACAGAUGUGUAAAAAAGGACAAAAGUUCAAUAUCUGACUGAAUAUCAGUGUGUCAGAUGUAAUUUCUGUUGUCAGUAAUGUUUUCAACAUAUAUAUAUACAUGUACAUGUAUAUUUGUAUCACAUUUAUACAGAAUUUCCUCUGGAAACUUAAAAAAAAAUAUGCCAUAAUAUCUGUUCCUGUUGGAACAUUCCCUGUAUUUUGUUAGGAAGUACAUUUUUAUUAUGCUGUUCAACUUAGUACUUCAUUGGACCUUUUUAAUUUUUUUGGAUUCGAGCGUCACUGAUGUGUCUUUUGUAGAAGAAACGUGCAACUGGCGUAAAUACAAAAUUUAAUUAAUGGGUUGAGGUCAUAAAACUUUACUCAGUGCUCCGAGCACAUAGAUCAUGCUCCAAACAUGAAUUCCAACAUUUUGAUUGGUUGAUUUUGGAGUAUGAGCAUGAUGAGUUUAAAAAACUGAAACAAGGGUAUAUCUAUGACGAGUUAACUUUAUUUAUAGUGUAAUAAUAAUAUUAAUCGUUCCAAUGGAAAUGAUAUUCCAGAAUUUUUUUUCCAUUUUAAAAUAUUAUGAAGGAACUUGUAUUUCAUGCCAAUGUUUCAUUCAGAAUUCAUCUUAAUUUCUUGUAUGUGCAAUAAAAAACCUAAAUUCCAAGGUUAAGAUUAAAUCUACUGAAGGUGUCUGAAUUUAACAGACUUAAAGAUCCUGAACAUUUGUAAAACGCUCAGGGUGCAAAAUUGUGUUAUUACAGCCUACUAUAAUUAAAUUUCAUUUGAUAUCUGCCCUCUUAGCAUGACUAUUUACAUUGCCUACAUGAAAUAUUUACAUGUCACAAUGGAUAUUGUAUAUAAUGUUUACAUUUCAACGAUUGACCAAAUAGUUUUCUUUUUAUUUAUGUUUAUUCUUUUCCACCCUUUAGAUUCAAGCUUCAAUCAUUUGGGUGGUUUUGAAUUAUUUGAUAACUUGUGUUUAAUUUAAUAACUUGAAAUGACAUUCAGGUUUAAAAGGUAAAAUGCAUGCUUUGUUGUUGUUCAGACCUGUUAAGUAUUUUUGUGAUCUUGAAAAUACACAUGAAAAGAAAUGUUCAGUCUGAAUUCAUUUAUAUUUUGUGUACAUAUUGAUAUUUAGUCGUGUGUUAAAUUUCUAGUGAUAAACAUGAAGGGAAAAAUUAUGAUAAAUAUGGUGUCUGAAGGUGUGUCAUUUUGUUUACAGUAACUAAGCUGUUGAUUGGCUCAAAAGAGAGUGUGUGUCUUGGUCAAGGUUAGAACAAACAUGUUCUAUUUUCAGGACAUUUUUAUUAUGUAGUAUUUUAUUUUUGACCCACUUUAAAUUAAUUCUUAGUAGUCUAAUUGCAGGGUCUUUUUGUCAUGUUUGUGUUGAAUAUAUAGUUUAUAGGCAAGAGAAAAGGAAUUUAAAUGAUCUUGUGACAUUAAAAAUAGAUUUUGUUUAAUUUAACUCACAGUUGGCAGUUUGUGUAUACAUAACAACCAAAAGCAUUAAGUUUCUAAUUUUAGUUAAAAUAUUAUAAAUUUUUUGAGUACUAGGUACAAUGUCAAUGUAGUUAUAAUUUCAUAAAGUCAGAUAUAAAUCUGCAAUUAAGCAGUUCUUGAUAUACAUAGAACAUGUGACAAUUGCAUGUGAUCUGCAUUCAUGUGGUAUAAUACUUAAUUAUGAUGCAAGUUACAUGUCAUUUUGAUGUGGUAGGCAAUAAAUAACAGUUCACCUUUAAGUUUUAAAAAACGUAAAUAAAAAACCACCUUGAAGUUAGGUUUAUGAAUAAAGAAGAUUUAUAUAUGAUUUCAUUUCUUUUUGAUAAUGCGUUUACAUUUUAUGAAAGGAUAAAAGGUACAUUUUGUGACAUUUUAAAAACAAAAUUUAAACACAGGGGAAGUGGUAAGAUUUAUAAAGAGAUAACUCUCCUAUAAAAAACAUGUGACGUAGAGGUUAACAGCUAUACCUAACCGUACUAACCACAACAAUGAACAGAAACUAUACUGCAUAUAGCAAACUUUUAAGAGAACAUUUUCUUAAAUAUUUGCCUACAAGUCAUACUGUCAUAAUAGGUUGAGCAUUUUGAUUUGAAUGAAUAUGUAUUUAAUAACGAUGGGCUAUUACCCUUUGAAACUUAUUAUGAUUGUAGUGUUAGAAAUACAAAAAAAAAACAAAUGUAAUGAUGAAUAAGGCACGUACAUAUAACCCUCUUCCCUCACAGAAAUAAUCUUUGAUCUCUGAUGUUAAUACACACAUAUUUGUUUUGACAUGUUUGCACAUUGAAUUGAUCAAGUCAAACAAAAAAGUAUGUGUGUUUAUUCUACCGCCACCUACCCUAAUCUUUUUUUGGUUUGACCAUUUUUGAUAUCUAAGCACUGUCAAAUUCACAUUGUUUUUCCCAUAGACUCAAUGUAAAACAAAUAUUAAAAGAAAUCCUUACCUACCUACCCUAUUUAUUUCAGCAUGUUACAGUAAACACUCAUACAUAUGUACUUUUUUGUUUGGCCUAGGAAAGGGUUCUCACUUACAGUCCUCAGCUCAAAUCAUUUAAGACUCAAGUUACCAUUUAAGAGUCCCAAGGUACACUAAGAUUAUGGUACCUUAUCUAGAAAUAUAUAAUGCUACAAGACUCAAAAUGAGUUUCAGCUUUGAUUGCCUUGAUUGUUCAAUAAACUGUGGAUUACCCAGGGGUUUCAUUAUCUUUCAUGUUGACUGGUACUUUCCACCUUUCUAGGUGGUACUUUUCAAUUUAUUCCAUGAAUAUCUUAUAUAAAAAUUCCUACAUUUAGGCGGUACUUGUCAAUAGCAUAGGAGGGUAAAAGUACCAGGUACCUCCUCCCAUUGAAUGGCCUGAUAAUUGACCCACAGUCAAAAUUAAGCUUUCCCUUGAUUCAUAUUUAUUGGAAAAUAAAUCCUGAUGUGAAAACCCUGUAAACAUGAUAAAAGUAAGAAAUUAUUUUGAUAACAAAUUAAAUACACUGAAUUUAAAAACAAUAAAACAUGUUCUUUUCAGGUGGUGAAUUUUCACUUCCCCCUUCUUCUGAUGUAUAUGAUUGAUAUAACAUUUAAACAAACCGAUAAUAAAAUUACACAAACAUAUUUAUUAUACAUGUAACCAUAAUAACAGGAUAGUCAUACAUUAAUAAUUAAGAAAAGAUUUAUUUUUAUAUUAUUAAUAAUGAGAGUGACGAACGUAAAUGACCAUAUCCUUGACUAGGGUUAUUACUGUGCGCCUGUUUUGAUUUCACAGGAAAAUCACAUCAUAUUUCAACCAGUGUAAACCACUUACAGUUUAGAGUUGUCUUGUGUGAUUCCCUGCCAUAUCCCUUCAGAAAGUACACGCAGUAAUCUAAAUUUUCCUUUAGUCAUGUAAGAAACAGAUUUGACCACGAUCUCCGAUUAGUACAAUAUUUAUCCAUUCAGAAUAGUUAAAAGUUAUAAGUCUUAUAAAUGAGUGGUAUUACCUCCAAUUUUAAGUUUUUAAAUUUUAAACUAUCUUGAGGGGAUAAAUAUCCUAAUCAAUGUGGUUGUGUUUUGACUAUCCUUUUUCAAGGAUUUGUCACUAUAUACAUUAAAAGAAACUUUAUGGGGUAUAUUUUUUGUCAAUCUUAUUAAAUUUCAAUUUGUUUUGUAUGAUCUGUUUCUGAUUGUGUGUUAGAUCUGAAAACAACCCAGAAGGGUAAUCUUUAGAUGAACUUGUACAUGCAUGCAAGAUUGUAAAUCAACCAAUUGUUUCAAGUGACACACUGGCAUAUUGAUUACAUACUCACGGCCGACACUCGGCUAACCGAGAGAUUGGUCGGUUAAUCUAUAUUGAGUAUGCGGCUAUAUCGGCGGUUGGUCUGUUAAUCGGGUUGGCUAAAGUCUGUUAAUCAGGUGUUAUCGAGAAAAACAUUGAAAGUUCAGCAUGUUUCAUUGUAUAACUUUCUAAAUAUAUUUUCAUAAAAAAAUGUAUUCAUGUCUAACAAAACAAUUCAAUGUACUGAAUUCAGUGGUGUAAUUAUUAUUUUUCUAGCUUCGAUGUACGAUCUAUAAAAUGAAAAGGCGCGUUACUCAUCAAUAAAUUUAUACACAUUUUACAACAUAAAAUGUACACAAAAUGACACAUUUGUUAAAUUUAGUUGCAUUCAAUAUUUUGAACAUCGAAAAAAGAAAGGCAUUAUGUUUGUUAACCAUAUUGAUAUAAUUGUGUGAAAAAUCUACAUGAAAAUCUGUAUUUUGAUGACAUAAAUCAAUCUUUAUUUAAACCUGGUCUGUUAAUGGGUCGGAUGUAUAAAACCCGGUCUGUUAAUUGGUCUGUUAAGAGUUAUGAAUGGCAAUACAAGUAUAAUGUUAUUGCUAUAUGGGGUGUUAUCGGAUCAAAUGAGUAAGCUCAAGACGAGCGGCUAAAAUAUACGAAAACAACACAUGAGCAAUGAAACAUAACAUAUACGGAAACAACACAUGAAAUUGAAAAUUGAUAAAAAUGGUUUCAAAAUGUGUAAUAUUAAAGUAAUAUUAAUUUCAUCCAAGAAUGAUCGCAUAUAUCAUGUUGAUUCUGUUUAAUUGUCAUGAAUGACACAAAUUUGUCAACUACAUGGGUAACCAGUAUAUAAAUCAGAGCUAACCGUCGUAAUGUAAGUUACUAAACAUCAGUAAGUAAAAUAUAUUGGGAUGACAAAAUGUGAAAAAUAAAGAAAGAAUAAUGAGUAAGAUAAAUAAAAUGUAGAAAAAAAUGACAUAACAAUUUAAAGAAUACAGAAAUAAACAAUACCCCCAAUCCCGGACCGUCAUGGUAUACACGAGAAUCUGGAUGGAAAUGCAGAAUAUAGAAUAAUAUAUAAGGACAGUAGAGAGUGAUACUUGCUAAAGACGAGAGAAAAAUAAUACUUGUUUAAGAAUACACACAUAAAACACCGAUGGCUGUUGAAACAGUAACGGAUUGCGAUGUACUUAUAUUGGUGACAAAUUUUAGAAGUUUACAUGCGGAAAACUAUGGUGGCAGGUUAAUGCCAAUUUGCGUUUUAGCGCUUUAGUGUUUUCGCCUUACAUAUUUUAUAUGGCGAAAACGCGAAAUUGCGAAAUUGCGAAGUUGAAAACGCGCGAAACCGAUUUUUCGUUUUCGACUUCGCGAUUUCGCCUUUUCGUCCUAUAGAAUAUGAAAGGCGAAAUCCCGAAAACACGAAAUGGACUUCACCGGUCACCAAAGACAACUGUAGUUCUCCUCUGCACUUAUGUAGAAAAGGAACUAAACGGAAUAAAAUGAAUUGAAACUUAAAAUAACCAAAUGUAGCUGCAUUCGCUCCUUUCCGUUUACUUCUUUAGAGUAAUUUGUAAACAACAUCAUAAUGAUUAAGUAAUAGAAGAAAAGAACCAAUUGGAUGAUGCUGAAUUAAGGGUUUAAUGUUCAGUGACAAAAUAUAUGUUCAUAUGUGAACGAGAACACUUAUAUAUACCCUUGUUGUAUUAGAAAGACAUUUCAGUCGGAAUUGAGAACGUGCCACGUCAAACAGACACAAAAUUAGGCUGAUUAAAACGUCAAUAAAAAUCCAUGCAAUUCCAAGGCCAAUCCAUAUCACGCUAUAUUGAGUGACACCUUCAAAAAAAUGCAAAAAAGUCAAAAUUAAAUGCUCUUUCUAGGAUACUGUGUCAUUUGUGUUUACUCAGGAACAUCUCAUUCUUAAAUUUUUCAAGGGGAAAAUAUAAAGAUAGCACAAUUAUUGUCGUGGCUAAAUAACUCUAACUGACACAAUUUAAUUGUCCAACCCAUUAACGACUUUAUUACCAUAAUUUUCACUUAAACGUGAGAUUCACUUUUACAAUUAUGAAAUAUUUACUAAUGUCAAUUUAUUUCUUUAGAACCAAGUACUAUUUUGUCCUUUAAAUGAUAUCUAAAUUUGUUUGUUUCGCCUUUUAUUACAAAAAUUGCUAUGCGUAUAAGCAUAAAUACUACAUACUUGCGCAACGCCUUUUAGUUUUACUGAAAACUGCGCAGACUAAGAAAUGUUUUUACAAGUGCAAAAUGUUCUAUGAUAGAUAUCGUUUUGUCAGACACUUUCCUUUUCUUGAUAUGGUUCUUAUAACAUGCCAAAAAUCUGUAUAUUUAAUAGAGUUUAACAUUAAAUUAAGCGUUUUACUCUUAACAGACGUAUAACCAACCGAUUAACAGACCAAUCGCCCAUAUAGCCGCAUACUCAAUGUAGAUUAACCGACCAAUCUCUCGGUAAGCCGAGUGUCGGCCGUGAUACUGGUAUUUUUAAUCACAAUUGAAAAACAAAAUUUCCUUUAUAUUGAUUCAAAAGUUUAUUGGACUUCUGAUUUAUGAUAUAUAUAAAGUAUAGAAAUGUUUAUUUUAAGGAUCAGAGCAUAAAAUGCAAAUAAUCUACAUGUCUUCAAGAAACAUAAUUAAAACAUUAGAUUUGGGGACUAUAUUCUGAAAUAUUUCAUAGUUUAAUUGACUGUUUAACAUAGUUAUAUGCAAUGUUUUUGAUAUAGAAAUAAAGAGAUCGAUGUGGUUUCUGGUAUAGUUGCCAAUGAGACAAAAGGACUCAUCUGAUAUAUACAAAACAGAAAAACAUAUAACUAAAACACAGACCAGACAGACAUGGCAGUGUGUUCAUACUUCUAUCUAACAAAAAAAGUCACAAAGUACAGAUCAGAGAGUACUCACAGUUACUGACAGCUUAGGGUCAAUAUAAAUAACAACUUAUAAAAAAAUCAUGUAUGUCAACUCUCAAGAAGAAAAAUUAUCAAUUAGUACAAAUGAACUAGUUUCCUCCUUAAUAAUUUCUUUACAUGAUCUAACAAAGUACAUGUAUAUAUAUUGACAAUACAGAUACUUAAAAACUUACACAAAAUACUGUGCAUCAACUCCUUUUCACGAGCGAUUUAUUUUUUCGAAUUUCGGGAGUAAAAAAAAUACGCGAAUAUAAAUCUGCGUGAAUAUAUACAAAAUUAGAUUUUUCCUAAACAAACUACACGAAGUUAAUUAGAAAAUUGAGAAAUUGAAUAGCUGCAAAUAGGAUUUGAAAGGGAAAAACGUGAGAUAAUUCACAAAAAAAAUAAGUUGGUUUACAGUAAUUUGACUAUUAAAUGAAAAUAAGAAAUUGUUGACUGAAUGAAAUGUAAUAGGUACUUAAAACAUUUCAUCACAUUCACUAUUUUAUGAUUUGAGAAUAAAAAAGUACUUAAUUAUGUUUUAUUUGAGAAUAAAAAAGUACUUAAUCAUGUUAGGUUUAAUAAUCAGAUGUUAUUUAGUGAAAAUCAUAUAUAGCAUUACCUAGUUAAACUGUAAUACAUGGUAAAGAAAGUAACAUGAAUAAAUUAAUUCUUAUCUCUCUUUUAUGGAAAGUCAUAAUGACAGUAGUAAAAUCGAUUGCAAUCUCAUGCACACUUAAGGUAGAUGGGGUGUCUAAAUUAUAAUCCAUAGAAUUUUUUGAUAAUUUGCCAAAAUGUAGUUUAUAACUGCUUGUUUCAAAACUAAUUAAAAGAAUGGGUCACCGGCUUAUUUCACACUACAGGUUGUGCAAAGUUGUCAGAUUUAGUAUAGAAUAUGCAUGGAAACCCCAAUUUUCCUCAUUAAAACGAAAACUACACCAAAGAAUUUUUAGAUAAAAUAUGAGAAGAUGGCUGUAAUAUUAUUCUUUCAGAUAAGAAAAAGAAAAAUGGGGGUCACGAACUUUUUCUUGCUAAUAUAAAAUGGGUAAAUUCCUAACACAUCUAUUGUAAAAAUAACACAAUCUGAAUUAUCUGCCUUGCAUUUGAGUGUCUCCCCUUAUUUGGCAAAGUUGGGAAAAUUUGAAUCAAACAAAAGUAUUCAGUUAAUGGUAAAAUACAACCAUAAAUAUGAUAAAACAUUGCAUUUUCUGUAUUAUAAUGAAAAAUUUUACACAUGAAUUACCUACUUAUCUCAAAAUUUGCACAUUUUAUCAAAGAUAUAGACCUUGUUUUCUGGUAUUUCAAAAUCCAAGAUGGAGGAAGACACCCUAUCUACCUUAACACUGUUGGCUAUUUGAUAAGAGUACAUCUGUCACUCUUUGGUUUUUUUACAUGAAAGUUGAAAAAGAACAUUUAAGUGUGUUUCACCAAGAUAUAUAUGAACUUCAAUUUUUAAUUAUCAUAAUAUGUUUUCUUGGUACAUUAGUUGUACAUUGUACAUUUAAAGUAUGGAUUUUAAGGAUGUAUUGAUAAUUUCCUUAUUUGUCAUCAUACCUGAUCAUUGGAUGCACACUUGAUGUCUUAGUUUUUCUUUUUUAACUCUUUUACUUUAAAUAAGCUGUAUUUUGGACCAUACAAAUUCACUAUUUGUACUGGUUAAAACUGCUCAAGAUUAUUUAUAUUUUUCACAACUUUGCUUGUGUCUGAAUUGAGAUAUCUUGAAAUAAGGGGGUAUACAUGGACAUAUACCAUGUAUUUGCAAUUUGAUCUUAAUGAUGAAGAGAUACUGAUAAAUCCCUGACUAACAUUUUAUAUUUCACAGUUCAAAAUGUGCAUGUUCAUCAUUUCAUGUUUAUAUUCUACAAAUUCACUGACUUUUUAUUCCCCAUUUAUUAUGCCCCAUUUAUGGGCAUUAUGUUUUCUGGUCUGUGUGUCCUUUCGAGGUAGUUCUUUAUUAAACUGAAGUCCAAUCAACUUGAAACUUAGUACACAUGUUCCUUAUGAUAUGAUCUUUCUAAUUUUAAUGCCAAAUUAGAGAUUUUCCCCCAUUUUCAAGGUCCAUUGAACACAGAAAAUGAUAGUGUGGAUGUACUAGGGACACAUUCUUGUUUAUAAUUAUUUCAAACUUCAUGUCUUGAUGUGUUUAAUAUUGGAUUCAUUAUUAGGCUAUGGAUUGUCGGUCAUAACCUCAUUUUAAUGCAUCAAAGGCCGGGUCAAUCAAAGUUUUCUAAAAUCAAAUCUUCUACAUUAAUUUUCAUUAUAUUUAUCAUUAUGAUUGAACAACAAGUUGGAUAUUUAUUUGUUUUGACAAUUCUGUGUCAAAUUGCUUGACCUGGUUUUUUAGCUCACCUGGCCCGAAGGGCCAAGUGAGCUUUUCCCAUCACUUUGCGUCCGGCGUCGUCCUGCGUCCGGCGUCGUCCUGCGUCCGGCGUCGUCCUGCGUCGUUAACUUUUACAAAAUCUUCUCCUCUGAACUACUGGGCCACAUAAUACCAAACUUGGCCACAAUCAUUAUGGGUAUCUAGUUUAAAAAAUGUAUCCGGUGACCCAGCCCUAACCAAGAUGGCCGCCACAUCUAAAAAUAGAACAUAGGGUAAAAUGCAGUUUUUGGCUUAUAACUUAAAAACCAAAGCAUUUAGAGCAAAUCUGACAUGGGGUAAAUUUGUUUAUCAGGUCAAGAUCUAACUGCCCUGAAAUUUACAGAUGAAUUGGACAACCUUUUGUUGGGUUGCUGGCCCGGGCCCUGAAUUGGUAAUUUUAAGGAAAUUUUGCUGUUUUUGGUUAUUAUCUUGAACAUUAUUAUAGAUAGAGAUAAACUGUAACAGCAAUAAUGUUCAGCAAAGUAGAUUUACAAUAAUCAACAUGAGAAAUGGUCAGUUGACCCCUUUAGGAGUUAUUGCCCUUUAUAGUCAAUUUUAACCAUUUUUUCGUAAAUCUUAGUAAUCUUUUACAAAAAUCUUCUCCUCUGCAAACUACUGAGCCAAAUUAAUCCAAACUACCACAAUCAUCUUUGGGUAUCUAGUUUAAAAAAAUGUGUCCGAUGACUCAGCCUACCAAAAAGAUGGCCGCCAUGCUAAAAAUAAACAUAGGGGUAAAUGCAGUUUUUGGCUUAAACUCCAAAAACCAAAGCUUUAAGCAAAUCUGACAUGGGUAAAAUUGUUAAUCAGGUCAUGAUCUAUCUGCCCUGAAAUUUACAGACCAAUCGGACAACCUUUUGUUGGGUUCAUGCCCUGAAUUGGUAAUUUUAAGGACAUUUUGCUGUUUUGGUUAUUAUCUUGAAUAUUAUUAUAGAUAGAGAUAAACUGUAAACAGCCAUAAUGUACAGCAAGUAAGACCUAAAAAGAAGUCAACAUGACCAAAAUGGUCAAUUGACCCCCUAAGGAUUAUUGCCCUUUAUUUAGUCAUUCUUUAACAAUUUUCACAAAAUUGUAAAAUUUACUAACAUUUUCCACUGUAACUACGGCCAAGUUCAUAUAGAUAGAGAUAAUUGUAAGCAGCAGAUUGUUCAGUAANNNNNNNNNNNNNNNNNNNNNNNNNNNNNNNNNNNNNNNNNNNNNNNNNNNNNNNNNNNNNNNNNNNNNNNNNNNNNNNNNNNNNNNNNNNNNNNNNNNNNNNNNNNNNNNNNNNNNNNNNNNNNNNNNNNNNNNNNNNNNNNNNNNNNNNNNNNNNNNNNNNNNNNNNNNNNNNNNNNNNNNNNNNNNNNNNNNNNNNNNNNNNNNNNNNNNNNNNNNNNNNNNNNNNNNNNNNNNNNNNNNNNNNNNNNNNNNNNNNNNNNNNNNNNNNNNNNNNNNNNNNNNNNNNNNNNNNNNNNNNNNNNNNNNNNNNNNNNNNNNNNNNNNNNNNNNNNNNNNNNNNNNNNNNNNNNNNNNNNNNNNNNNNNNNNNNNNNNNNNNNNNNNNNNNNNNNNNNNNNNNNNNNNNNNNNNNNNNNNNNNNNNNNNNNNNNNNNNNNNNNNNNNNNNNNNNNNNNNNNNNNNNNNNNNNNNNNNNNNNNNNNNNNNNNNNNNNNNNNNNNNNNNNNNNNNNNNNNNNNNNNNNNNNNNNNNNNNNNNNNNNNNNNNNNNNNNNNNNNNNNNNNNNNNNNNNNNNNNNNNNNNNNNNNNNNNNNNNNNNNNNNNNNNNNNNNNNNNNNNNNNNNNNNNNNNNNNNNNNNNNNNNNNNNNNNNNNNNNNNNNNNNNNNNNNNNNNNNNNNNNNNNNNNNNNNNNNNNNNNNNNNNNNNNNNNNNNNNNNNNNNNNNNNNNNNNNNNNNNNNNNNNNNNNNNNNNNNNNNNNNNNNNNNNNNNNNNNNNNNNNNNNNNNNNNNNNNNNNNNNNNNNNNNNNNNNNNNNNNNNNNNNNNNNNNNNNNNNNNNNNNNNNNNNNNNNNNNNNNNNNNNNNNNNNNNNNNNNNNNNNNNNNNNNNNNNNNNNNNNNNNNNNNNNNNNNNNNNNNNNNNNNNNNNNNNNNNNNNNNNNNNNNNNNNNNNNNNNNNNNNNNNNNNNNNNNNNNNNNNNNNNNNNNNNNNNNNNNNNNAUUUGAAAUCAUUCUGUAUCUUCUUAUUUGUAUCAUAAUAUAUAAGGCCCUCAAAAUGUUUAACAACCUUGCCCCAUAAUACAGUGAAACCUGGCUAAACCGAAUCCUGCAUUAACCGAAAACCUGUAUAAACCAAACAUGUUCCUAAGCACAGUCAUAUCAAAUUGUAUGCACUGUGAACCUGAUAAAACCGAACAUAGGCCAAAACCGAACAAAAUCUUCCCAAAGAGGUUCGGUUUAAACAGGUUCCACUGUACAAAAAUAUUUUCCUGCAAGAUGUUGAUGUAAUUUUUUUAUUAUUAUUCAUCGGUACAUUUUUGUAACUAAAACUACAAUAAAAUUUUGUGCAAUACAUUAUAUAUAUUUAAAGAGUUUUUAAAAGAUUAUUUAAUCAUUGUUCAUUUGAAAAUGUCAUCCAAGUUGGUCCAUUGAGCCAUUAUGUUUUUUUUUGUUUUUUUUGCAACAAUUCCACAGAAAAAAACAUGAAACUGUCAUUUUGGUCUUUUGUGGAUAGUUGUCUUAUUGGCAUUCAUACCACAUCUUCUUUUUUAUAUGAAAGUUUAAUGGAGUGAGGAUUUUGUACCUUCAUACAUAUAUAUAUACUACAGAUUCAUUAUUAAUAGUUGGAUACCAAUUUUUGGGGAUUUGUGGUUAAAGGUGAUCUACAAAUUAAAAUGCUCAAGAAUUACAUUUAUAAGCUUUAUAUGCAGAGAUUGACAAAGCCAAGAAAUAAAAUAUCAACAAUACAAGUUUUUCUCAUUCACAUGACAUCUGAAUCACAUGGAAAUAAAGGAAUUUAUAGUAUCUGUAAUUCCUAUAGUUCUAUUAGAAAUUUUAUAAUAAGGCAAUGUAUACUUUAGCACUACAUAGUACCUUACUAACUCUGUAUAACUAAAUGAUUAUGUAGACCUAUAAUGGUUUACUUGUACAAAAAUAUGGAGAGUUGUCUCAUUGGCACUCAUACCACAUGUUCUUAUAUAUCUAUGUAGUAUUUUUAAUUAUAUUACAGGUAUGAUACUUAUGAAGAAAUUGAUAAAAUAGCAAAAGACAUCCUGAAGCGAGUAAAAUGUCGACCACAACUUGGAAUUAUCUGUGGUUCAGGACUUGGUGGGUUAGCAGAUUUAGUGGAAGAAAAAGAGACAAUUAGUUAUUUUGAUAUAGAAGGAUUUCCUGUUAGUACAGGUAUGUACAAGAAUGAUCAGGUAACUGUAGAUUAGAACAUACAUGUAGCGGAAACAGUAGAGAUGGUAAUUUAUUACAAUACAGGAUUUUUAGUUGGUACAUAUCGUUACAUGUAAAUGAACUUGGUCAUAUGUAAUUGAUAUUUAACCUGAGCUAUCAAAAUGUAAUGUUUGACAGACUUUAUAAUGUACAACGUAAAAAAACAUGAUGAAUCAUUAUCUGUUUUCACAUCUAUUUUAUUUUAGAAAUAUAUAUAUGAAACUUCUAUUAUCACUUGCAAUCAAACAAUACAAUGAACAGGUGUUUAGUAGUCAAACUUGUCAUUGAUUUUCCACUCAGCAUCAAUAAAUACAUCAAGGUUUUCAAAACACUUUAUCAAGCUAUUGUGUCUUUCAAUUAAGUAUAGUAUGAAAGGAAAGUACAGUCAUUACAGAAGUCAAAGCCUUCAAGAUAUUCCCAUACACCACUCAUUUCGAGUUGUACUUGUUUCUGUUUAGUUCUGAAAGUACUAACGAUUUGCUGAACCAUAUAUAAGAUAAGGAAAUGAAGGGGAUGGGGUAUGAUUGCCAGUGAGACAACUAUCAAUCCCAAGUCAAAAUGACAUGAAUAAAAGCAACUGUAUGUCAUUUUAUGGCCUUCAACAAUGAGCAAAACCAAUAAUAUUAUGUAGACUGCUGUUAAAGGCCCCUGCAUGACAAUUUAAUCUUUUUUAGAAAAAUAUAGUUUAAAAUAUUUGUAGUAUAUAUAUAUUUAUAAACCCAGAGACAGAUUUAGAGUGGGAAAGGGUGGCCUGGUCCUCCUUGUGUUGGAAAAUACUCAAAUUUCUGGAUACUCCACUAAAACUUUUAAGACAUACUGUCGCUGAACUUAUUAAGUUUCACUUUCAUGUCUUUUAUCUUUCUAAUUAUAUAAGUAACAUCAUGAAUGAGUCAUUGUGUUACUACAAACAUAAAUACAAAAAAUUUUUUUUUUUGAAAAAUUCAAUCAAAAUGCUUUGACCGAGGUAGUGCAGGACUUCAAGUGUUGUUAUAAAACAUGUGGGUAUAUUGACAUUUGCUCUCAUGCUAUCUAAAGCAAUCACUGAAUCACUACAGAUCUGCUUUCCAUUUUGCUCUCAUGCUGCCCUUAGCAAACAUCAAUCACUCAACCAUUCAAUUUAAUGCUACAAAUUUCCAUAAAACAUUUUAAAUUGUGAAGAAUAUUUGUUUUUAUUUUCAGUACCUGGACACCAAGGCCAAUUUGUGUUUGGUAAAUUACGUAAUAAACCGGUGAUAAUAAUGCAGGGACGAGUACAUGUGUAUGAGGGAUAUCCAUUGCACAAGGUAGAAUGAUACUUGUCAUGCUUGUCAGAGGCUGACUAAUAAAAUUGAGAAUGGAAAUGGGGAAUGUGCCAAAGAGACAACAACCCAACCAUAGAAAAAAACAACAGCAGAAGGUCACCAACAGGUCUUCAAUGUAGCGAGAAAUUCCCGCACCCGGAGGCGUCCUUCAACUGGCCCCUAAACAAAUAUAUACUAGUUCAGUGAUACUGAAUGCCAUACUAAUUUCCAAAUUGUACACAAGAAACUAAAAUUAAAAUAAUACAAGACUAACAAAGGCCAGAGGCUCCUGACUUGGGACAGGCGCAAAAAUGCGGCUGGGUUAAACAUGUUUGUGAGAUCUCAACCCUCUCCCUAUACCUCUAGCGAAUGUAGAAAAGUAAAUGCAUAACAAUACGCACAUUAAAAUUCAGUUCAAGAGAGGUCCGAGUCUGAUGUCAGAAGAUGUAACCAAAGAAAAUAAACAAAAUGACAAUAAUACAUAAAUAACAACAGACUACUAGCAGUUAACUGACAUGCCAGCUCCAGACUUCAAUUAAACUGACUGAAAGAUUAUGAUUUCAUCAUAUGAACAUCAGGCACAAUCCUUCCCGUAAGGGGUUUAGUAUCAUACCAUCAUAAAAUAUAUGAGAAGAACAUAACCCGUGUCAUGCCAACAACUGUUUUUUGAAUAAAUGUGUUUAGUUCCGAUGCAAAGACCCUAUAAGUGAAUCAAUAUUUACGCCAAAAUAUGCAAUCUUUAAUGACCUGACAACAGUAUCGUAACUAUAGCCCUCUUUAAUAAGUCUAUUCAAAGGUUUUUUUAGUUUUUGAGGUGAAUACUGACACCUUUGUGCUCUUAAAGAAUAUUUCCAUAAAAAAUUGGAUGUGAAAUACCUGAACGUAUAAGAAGCAUGCAUGUUGAGCUAUAUUUACGAAUGAUGUCCUUAUACCGAUGAUAAAAUUUAGUAAAUGUUUUGACUAGUUUGUGAUAUCGAAAACCCUGGUGUAAUAAUUUUUCAGUAAGACAUAAAUUUCUCUCGUUAAAAUCUAAAACAUUGUUACAUACACAACGAAUCGUACAAGUUGAGAUGGUGACAAGGGAACGUCACCAUCUACAAAUGGAUAAUUAACGAUAGGAAAUGAAAAAUCAUCUCAUUUAUCAUAAAUUUUAGUAUUCAGCUUUCCGUUAGUGAUAUAGAUAUCAAGAUCAAGGAAAGGGCAGUGGUCAUUGUUAGUAUUAGCUUUAUUUAAAGUAAGUUCAACAGGAUAAAUUUCUUUAAUAUACAUACUGAAGUCGUCAUUAUUGAGAGCCAAAAUAUCAUCCAAAUAUCUAAAGUAUUAUUAAAUUUGUUUAUAAGAUGUUGUUUCUAUGGGUCUUUGCUUAUUUUUGUCAUAAAUUGUAACUCAUAGCAAUACAAAAACAGGUCCGCAAUAAGUGGUGCACAGUUCGUCAAUUUUUUAUUAAAUGAACGUUGAUAUUUAUGUUUAAAAGUUUUCACUUGUAUAAAUUCAUCACUGAUUUCACAGUCACCGGUAGAUAAAUUUGAGCUAGUUAAAAAUUUUGAAAUGAGAAGAAAUUCUUUGAUAAAUUUUAGCAAUAGACUUAACUCCUGGUUAAUAUUUCCGAAUAAAAUAACUAGUAGAAAUUCUAAAACAAAUCUUCAGAUGAUGAUGCAGACCCUAGUAAGAUUGUAAAAUAAUAACCAAUAUACAUCACUAGUAUAACAAUAAUGAUUAAAAUUAGAUGUUGAUAAUACAUUGACACUUAAUGAGUUUCAGAUGAUCAUAACGAUUUUGAAGAAAUUGUAAAAAAAAAAAUCAACAAUUUAAUAUUUUAAAUAAUCUUUUUUAUAAAGAAGAAGAUUUCUUUAUAAGCUUUAAAGCAACUACAUGUCUGUCUUAACAUUGUGAUUUAUGAUUUAACAACCUAAAAUAGAGUAAACAAUGAAGUUUAAAUCAUAUGCAUAAGGUUGUUUUCUAGCAGACGCAGCUCAUGCGUCACACUUACUGCCUUUUAAAAAUAAAAAAAUAAAAAUUUUAAAAAUGUAGUGUCAUCUGCCACAACAUAUAAUUAAAGAGCAUGCAUUAGCACAGUAUUAAUCUUAUUUUUUUAUCUGGAAGUAUGUAAAUUAAAUACUUUUUUAUUUCAGGUAACAUUACCAAUAAAGAUAUUGAAACUGAUGGGCGUUACAACGCUUUUUAUAACAAAUGCUGCAGGUGGUAUUAACAGAGACUAUAACGUAGGGGACAUCAUGAUUAUGAAGGACCAUUUUAAUAUACCAGGAUUCUCAGGUUUAAAUCCACUAAUAGGACCAAAUGAUGACCGGUAAAUAUCUCCUUAUAUAUUUAAAGGACCCCCAACCCCACCUCCAUCACUCUCUUGAGUUCAAACUGGCACCACAAAAUAGCUGGCAGUGCUAUAAGUGACAUGAAAAUCUAUCUCAUUCUAUCAUCUCAUAUAUAUAUUGGUAGAUACAGAUAGUGGAGAACUUAUAAACUAAACUCUAUUUUAGCAUAAUUCAAACUGAAAUAUGGCAUUUAAUGAAAGCUUCAUUAUAUAACAAUUCUUUCUAGAAGUACACUUGUACUUCCAUCUUAUUUGCGUCUGAUAAAAAAUAAUAUGAAACAUUUAUUGAUUUCUUCUAUAAUUAGGGUAGAAGUAGAAUGAAGAUGUUUUUCAUUUUUAUUCCUGAUACAAAUAGUGUUCAGCAAUAAUAAGCUGAGGAUUCAGAAUUAAAGGAAGUAAGUACGGGUGUAGUUAUGAAUGGACACGGGGGGGGUCUCAACGUGGGAUUUUGGGUACAGGUGUGCAGCUGGGAUUUUAGAAACACCCCCCAUUCAUAUAUUGAAUAAUUGUGAAAUCCCUACCUAUACAUAUAUUUCACAGCGAAAUCAUAACCCAUUCAUAUAUUUUAUGACCCAUUGAUAUAUCACAAUCGGUCAAUUACUACCUAUUGAUAUAUUUCCUCGGUAAAAUUGCACCCCAUUGAUAUAUUUGACGGAUCAAAAAAGGGACCCAUUCCAGCGGCACAUAUGUAUAUACCUUUAUAUAGGAAGAGACCCCCCCCCCCGUGUGAAUGGAAAACCUGAAAACCUCUUAUUGGUCACUUAUAUAAAAAGAAUUUGUACUAAACAUUGUUGCCAAAAUACUUGUAAAACAAACAUGAACUUUGUCUUCUUUUGUAGAUUUGGACCAAGAUUUCCAGCAUUAUCUAAUGCUUAUGAUUUCAAUCUACGUAAUCUGGCAAAGAAAUGUGUCAAAGAACUAGGUUAUACAGAUUUCUGCAGGGAAGGAGUUUACUCUAUGUUAACAGGACCAUCUUACGAGACAGUCACAGAAUGUAAAUUUCUACUCCAAUGUGGGGUUGAUGCAACAGGUAAGAAUAACAUAUACUUUUCAAUGUAUGCAGUUUUACCUGUUCUUUUUGUGAAUCGGUGAUUAAAGUUUUAUAGUCGAAUUUAUAAGAUUAGAAAAAAAAGAAUUGUAAAAAUCCUUAGGCUAAAAUGAAAUCGUUACCUGAUACAUGUAUAGGAAUAUCUAUUUUUAUCAGACUUUUUAUAAUUUAGACUUUUUGUAUUGAAUUUCUUCAAUUCAUGGAUAUAAAGCAGCUUUAAGUGGUCGAUUUUUCAGUAGCAGUUGAAGUUAUUUCUUCUCUCUUCUUUUAGCAAGUCUAGUCCAACACUUGAUUAAUCUUAAAAAUGUAUAUGUUCAUUCUUUUUAAAUCUUCAAAACAUGCAUGACAUAUUGCCAUCACAUGAUAAUUAAUCAACAGCCAAGAAAAUUAACAAAGUUUUCAUCUGAACAAUGGAGACAAUAAGAUUUCAUGUUUAAGAAUUUGAAUUUAUUAAUCAAGACUCUAUUGAAAUACACCUCACAAUACACUGAAUGCACAGGACUGAUAAAGUUACCAAUGUUCUAUGUUUUUAUAAGUCAGACAUGAAGAUUUGAGUCGAGGUUAAUAAUUUGUUUAUUUUCUAUAGGUAUGAGUACAGUACCUGAAGCCAUCGUGGCUGUCUAUUGUGGCAUGAAAGUGUUUGGAUUAUCUCUGAUUACAAAUAGCUGUAUUAUGGAGUAUGACUGUAAAACCUGUGCAAAUCAUGAAGAAGUUCUAGAGACUGCAAAACUCAGAAGUAAAGAUGUACAGACUCUCAUUUCCAAAAUGGUGGCUGAGGUUGAAGUGUAACAGCCAAAUCACAAUUCAUAUGUUGUUUAUCUCUUUGUUGAUUGUUUUUCUUGUUAAAAUUUAUUGUUAUACAAAAAUGGACUAAGAAAGUGAGAGAAUAAAUCCUUGAAAAAUGUCUUCCCCCCCCAAAAAAAAUAGAAUCCUGUAGUUGUAAUGAGAUUAUUUCACACAGUUAUCAGUUUUCAUGGUUACAAUAGAAUCUCAGAUGUUUUUUUUUUUUAUAAGCUAGAUAAUAGUAGAUUUUUUUUUUAGAAAUAUUAUCAGUAGGUUUGGCCAUGUAAUGGGUGGAUUUAUGGAACUGCAUAAAGUCAUUUUCAUUCAAAAGGGGAGAUUUUUCUUGUAUUUUAGAUCAUGCAUCAAUUUCUUGUGCUUUAUUUUCUGUUUUGAUGUUAAUAAAAAGAUGUUCAAGGGAGACAAUUGCCUGUGUAAAAAAACAAAUGCAAGAUUACUUCCCUUUAAAUUUAUGGUACCUUUCUGAUUUAAAGUAAAAUAAACAGACAAUUACUCUAAAAAUCUAUCGAAAUUUUAUACAAAUUUAUAAAAAAUAAUAAUAAAAUUGUUUAAUGAAUUUCUGUUAAAAUGUCUAUGUUAAAAACAAAAUUGGAGCUGAUAUACUGAAAUAAGCUGACUGUAGUUGUAUAUAAAAUGGCUGUGAGUUUAUUUGUAUAUAUGGCAUUAUAAUUUUAUAAUUCUAACGACUUUUGUAUUGAAUCUCUCUAUAUGUUAAGACUGUCGUUCUUAUGUUGUAAAUUUUAGUGGGUUUUCGGAUGACAACUCUUCAUUUGAAUUAUGUUGGUGUAGAAGUAAGCCUCUUUACAUUUUAUAAAUAUUUUGUGUGAUACUUGUUUUGUAUAGUAUUUUAAGACUGUAAUUUAUUGUUAUAUGAAUGAAUGAAUUAAAAAAAGGUAAAGUAAUCCUGUUUAUAAUUUAAUGAUCAUAAAUAUUAUCCAUACUGUCAAAACCGUUAAAAAAACAGCAUUUGAGAACAGUUGAUGAAAGAACUACUGAUAGUUUAAUUUUUCUGUGCACAUUACUGAAACAGCAUGGGAGUUAUAGUUCAAUAUUCACAUAUAUGGAAUAUAUUAAAGAAAUUACCCAACAUUAGAAAUGUUUUACAAACAUUGUUUUAGGUAUGGAUAUUAUAAUUAUGAAUUGAUAUUGAAUGCUUAAAUGAUUAAUUACUUAGUGCUCUGUAUGUAAAUAUGGUAUGAUAUAUUUCAAGCAGUUUGAGUAGGAUGUGUGUGCUUUAUUUAAUUUGUAAAAAGUUUUUUAUGCAUCCACUGAAUAUGUAAAAAUCCUUGUAUUUUGCAGUUAACCAAAACAAACAAAAAUCAAUUUAAAACAAUCAACCUGUUUUGUUUCAAGUACGAAAUAUAUAUUUUAUUUUCAUAUUUUAUAAACAUAUAGUGAAAAAUGUCUCAAAAAAUUUAAAUUGAAUAUUUUUUAUCUAUAUAAGACUUUAUUUCAUUGUUUUUUUGUUGAGAAAGGCAGCUAUGUUCCUAUGAAAUGAGUUUUGAAACAUAAACCUUUCAUAAAUUCUUCUUUCACUUUUAUACUUAAAAUGGCUCUACUGAAAUUUUAGGUCCAGAUUGUUUUCAAUGACAUAUUACUUUCAGUAUCCUGGUUUAGGAUACAGAAAAAGAAACUGUUCUGUUUUUUAAUAUUUUUUUAGAAGAUUAGCUUAAUUAUUGAAGAUUUUAUCAUCAGCUUUUCCUUUGAAAUAUCCUUUUAAUAUGUUACAAUUAAAUUAAGAUACAUCAAUACUUCUUUUCACCAAAGAUCAUGCAUUGUAAAAGAUUAACAACUAGUAGCUACUUAUUUAAAAAUUAGAGAUAGAAUUUAUUUAUUUGAAAAUUAAAUUUUUGAUGAAUCUCAUAUAUUGGUAGAGGCCAAAAAAAGAUAUAACUAUGUUUCUUGCAUCCCUACCUAUCCAGAAUUUCCAAUGCUUUUCUAACACGUGUAAUUGACCUUUAUAUUGCAGUUCCUACCUGGUACCCUAUUUUUUUCUUGCAGGAAACUGCACGGAAACUGGUAUCUAAAUUUUUAUGUUUUACCAUCAUAGCUAUAGAAAGUUUCUGAACAUAGUGUGUAGUGUUGUGAAUCUCAAAUAGUACAGGAAAUUAAGUUUGUUUUUAGAGAUUAUUUUUUAUAUUAUUUUUUGUUAUUAUAUUUAAUCACUGGCUAGAAAUUCCCUCUCAUCAUGAUAAUUUAUUAUUGACACCAAGUUAAGAUUACACAUCAAUGAUAGUACAAAAUGGUUACUGUUACUUAUUUUGAGUUUCUUUGACAAAAUUGUAGUGUCUUCCUGUUAUACAGGACCUUGAUGACACUUAAUAAAAGACCAAAAUCAUAUGAAAAGAUUUCAGGACCAUUGUACGACAUACAAGUCUCAUGAUUGUUUUUUAAAUAAUAUUCUGCAAAUGUGAAAAUACAGGUAUAUUUUUCAACUGCCUUAAAUACACAGGUUAACAUAUGAUUGUUUGUAUUGAGUGUUGUUGACUUAUAAGCUAUGCUAAUAACAAAAAUGCAAUUUAUAUUUUUGAAUCUUGAUGUUUAUAUUUUUUCCCGGUGAUGAAGAUCUCAUGAAGAAAUAUAUAUGACAUUAUAAAUGAAAUAUAUUUUAUGCCUCGGCUGUGAUGGAAGGGGCAGAAAGGUUUACCUGUGACAAUAUGUCUCUAACUUCAGUUUGUUGACCAAAUGUUAUUGAAUUCUUACACAAUGAUUAUUACCACAAAAAUGCAUAGAUCAAAUUUGAACUUGGGUGUGGUUGCUUUCACUGUUCUUGAGUUAUGUCCUUUUAUAAAUAGAAAAAUAGCUGAAUGUGCUGUUUUUUCAUUCCAAACUUUACUUUUCUACAAUCUGAAACUUAUAUACAAUGCUGACUGCCGCCAAACACAGAUCAUUUGAGGAUUUGAGGAAUAAAUUAAAAACAUUUUGCGGUUUGACUCUCAAUACAUGUGUAAUAGUGUAUUGUUAUUGUUUACUCUUUAGUGCAUAACUUGUUGACAUUAAAUAUUAUUUUAUACAUGUAUGUUUUAAUAUUGUUAUUUUCCCCAAUCAUUUGGUUGGUCAUAUCUCAGUUAGUGAAGCCAGAUUUAUUUUUGUUUAUAAAUAUUAUUUUAUGUGUGCAUGCCUUUAUUUAGACACACACCUUUUGUUUAUUUUUUAUCCUCUAAUACUAAGUGUAGCAUACAGAAUGAGUAAAUCGGAUAUUUUCAGUAAUACUAGAUCUCAAAUACCAAAUAAUGUCCAAAGAAGGUAGAAAUAUAGAGGUAGGCAUUGUGACAUAUUGAUACUUAAUCUUGUUUUACUACCAUUAACCGUUAACAUGUUAAUUUAACUUUAUAUUUGAACUCAGAAGAAUAAAGAAAUUGGGUCAUUAUGGUCAAUUUACAGUGAAAAUGCUCAUUCCUGCAUUCCCUUAUCAUUAUUUAUUUAUAAGCAUAAGUUUUCAUAUCCAAAUUCACUUGUAAGUAGGCUUUCCCAUUUGCUAACAAAGAAUUGUAAUAAUUAUUCUUUCUGAACUUCUAAAAUGUAUUUAGAAUAAUGUGUGCUUAAUUUAGAUUGCUGUGUAUUUAUAUCUUGAGUAUAAUGAUUAUAUGCUAUUUGCUAUUGUUUACAUACUAUUGUUAUGAUUUGAAUAUAAAGCUAGGAACAGAAAUGUCUACAUGUUAAGUAUGUAUAAGUAUGAUCUCUUAAGUGAAUCUUUUUAAAAAUUACUUAAACAUUUGACAUAAAGGUAGGUCAGGUGUUGUCACACUGAAUGCAAUCUGGUGCAAACCUCUGCUUUCUAAUGUACCAAAUAUUCAAACAUAGAUAUGUGAUUAAGGAAAGUUAAAGCUUGAUAUUUAUAAUACUAUUAAGUUUAGUAAAAUACAACAUCUAUCAUUUUGUUCAAUUACUUUAAUAUGUAGAAAUAUAUCAGAAUUAAUUGAAAGCAGGUUGAAAUUUCAAUAUUGUAGGUGUUUCAAAAUACAUCAUAUGAUAAUAUCUCAAUAGAGACAUUUUGUAUGUAUUAUAGAAGAUAUUUAAAUGCAUAUCAGCAUACAGAGGGUUAGUUGUGGUAAAUUAUUGGUAUUUAAGCAUAGUGUGUAAGCAAAUAAAAGAUUUGUUGUUGAGAUUUGAUAAAUAAAGGACAUGCAUCAUACUUGAUGACUAUUUUCUUAGAAUGAUAAAUUAGAAGUAAACAUCUGUCCACUACAACAGAUGUUACCUUUUAAAAAAAAAGUUGGUCAAGGUAUUUACUAAUGAGAGUUAUAUUUAGAAAAUGUGUCCUUUGUAUAAUUAAAAUAGUGGCCA